AGGAAAAUAAAACAGAGGUCUCAAUCUCAAGCUCAAUACUGAAUGCUAUUAAUGUCGUUGCAUAUUUCACUUGAGCUUUUGUGCAUAAUGUGUUUCUCCCCCCACAGUGUCUCCAUGCGGAUGUGAACGGCUUGAUGUCUGAUCACAGCAUCCAUAAGUGAUCUCACAGGUUGGUCCCUCGCGAGAGAUUCAUUACAAAAGGUCUUUGAUUGUGGAAAUCUUCCAUCUAACAAAAACAAGUUUUUGGAAAUGAAAGAGACAUGACAUCAGAGGGGGGGUUAAAGAGGAACAACUACAAAUGAACAGCAACUGAAAAGAACAGAUAUCAACUCACUAUAUAAGGGUGUGUGUGUAGAUGCAGUUGGCAGUGAAUAAUAAAACUAUUUUCAUCCUACGACGUAAAGAUUAAAGAGAAGGAUCGUGGAAGCUGGUCGAGCCCUUUGUGAAAGCAGACAGACUUCAGGAACUGCAGCCGACUGUUGCGAGAACAAAGGUUGUACAUUUGAAAGAGACGGCUCGGGAUGCAGAUACAAAAGGAUGCACCAUGAGACACACACACACACACACACACACUCAAUAACACACACCCCUUCUCCCCGGCGAGCCCCGUUGACGUGAUUGGGUCUCGUGGACCACUGGGCGACUUUAAUAAGGCUAUCGGGAACAUUAGACCAUUCCUUGGUAGCAUGAGGGGAGACGGGUGGGUGAGGAGGGGGCUUGGUCAUAUUCUCCUAAGGCCGUGGGGGGGGGGCAAAUCAAACAUUCAUCAUACACGGUUGGCAAAGAAGGAAGGCAUUAAAAAUACAACAGGCUGACCAAAGUCUCCGAAGGGACGCGUGAGUUGUUUCCACGAGGUGGGCUGAUGGAUGACACCGCUGCGGCCUUUUUCCUCAUGCACGUGCGUUCAUGUCUAUGUGCCCGUAGAGGCAGUUCAAAAAAAUGAAAAUGAAAGGAUUUUAAUAAUUAAAUUCUUAAACCACGUGGGUCUUACAAAACUUGAAACCCUGUGAUGCUUUGGGUCACUUGUAGAGACAAAAGAAAAUGCAUAAUGUACCGCGUGAGUCUGGAAAACAGAGGGAUGUGUUCAGAGACAACACACACAAUAAGUAAAUAUAUAGUAAAAUAUGAAGCAUAUAAAUGGUAACAUUACUUGUCAGGAAAACAUGAUGGGAAGGAUUAGUGAUUUGAAGAUGGUUAAAAUACAAUUGGAAUUGGACAAUCAUUUUUUCUGUUUUGUUUCUUUCCCUUUUUAACUAUGUGUUUUUUCUGUUGUAUUUUUCACAUGUUUUCUUUUACAUAAUGCACCUGCACUGCCUAAGACAGUUCCCUUUGUUUUUUUUAUGUUGCUUUGAAAAUUCACAUAUCAAAGUGCUGCCAGCCGCGCGGCUUUCAGCCGGCCAAAAGGUUCCCAAAUCUGACCCAACGCGAGACACUUUGGAGCCCAUGUUUUUAGGUCUGAUUCGGUUACUUCACCGUCAGCAAUGUAAAAAGCACUCUCCAUCACCGAGUGCCCCUCUCUGCCCCGCCUGGUAUCUCUGUGGUCCGGCCCCUGCAGAGCCGACAACACCAAUGUGUCACGCUGUAGAGUGUGUGUGUGUGUGUGUCAGUGGGAGUGCUAGGUGUCUGAACAUGCAGUACAAUUGACCGAGUGAGACGGAAGCGGAGUGGCCCAGCAGAGUUCAAUCAAUGGGUUUGGACGAGCACCCGGUGUUGCGCUCAGUACUGUAGGACGUCUGUAUCGGAGAAGCAGGCUUUACUUUUCUAUUAUUGUUUGACUUCCUGUCCAUUGAAUCCCAGGCAGCGGAUAUUAGCUUCCAACCUUUUUUUCUAGUACACAAAGGUCAGAAAGACCUUAUGCUGUGCACAGCAGGGAGGGGUGUGUGACUGAUGUACCCAUGCAAUAGUUUUAGACCAACAACUAUUGCAUUGCACACGGAGCAAAAACAUUAGUAUUGAUAUUAGCUUUGAUGAUCCUCAUGCAAUAACUUCUAACCUCUAGCAGGUAAAAUGUUUGUACUACACAAAGUGCUGAUCCCCAAAGCUCUCAUCAUCUGGUCAGAAUGAAAACCUUCCCAUAAGCCUCGGCUGUAGCUGCUGAUUAGCACAUAUGUUAGCAUAAGAUGGUGUACAUGUUAAGCAGCAUACUUGCUACACCUGCAUGUCAGCAUGCUGACGUUAUUAGCAUUUAGCUCAAAGCACCGCUGUGACCAGGCACGGCCUAAAGGAAACAUCUGGGUCCAAUGUGUCAGAUAUUUUCUUUGCAUUAGAAUGCAUUGGCAGAUGUUGAGUUUCCUGCAGAUGUGUAGUGCAGUGAAGGAGAGGCUUUGCAAUAACUGGACUGACAGCUCCCUCGUGUGGUACUUUUAUAGAAUUGGUUAUGUUGCUGGCACUGAUUAUUAUUAUGUUCUCUUUAGCACAAAGGAAUGACAGUGAAUCACAUCUGGCCUAUUGAAUGGUUGUGUGCUUUAUUCUGGUAGAUUAAAUCCAGCAGCAAAUGAAAGGAGCGUUCAGAUCCGCAAAAAAACGCACUGAAUACUAUUUGUAGUAUCCUCAUCUAAAUGUAUCAUCUGGAGCAAAGAUGCAGAAAAAUGCAGAGAAAUCUCGCGUCACUGACGGGAUAUUUUUCAUUAAUUAUUAGAUUAUUAUUUCAAAUUAAUUCAAGUGUUUCAAAUAUUAAGUUUGUGUAUGAGCUGUAAGUAGCUUCAUUCCACCACUAAAAGGUUAUUUUCCACAUAGUUUGAUAGUAAAGGCAGGCAGCUCCUUAUGAUCUCCUACAGUGUAUAAUUUGCAUUAUUAUUGUGUAAUUUUCUUUGUGGCUGUGUCCAGAAGGAGAAACAUUUCACGCAUCAUUACAUCAUACACUUCUUCUCUGAUUCUCACACAACCCGCUCAAACAUGUCAUUACCUUGAAUUAACGCCGGUGAUAACCAUCUGUCAGGUCUGAUUUUUGCACGCCGCUGUGUUUUGUUAACAGCCAACUGCUUCACUUAAGGCAGGUUAACUGCAACAUCAGCCAAUUUAUUGCCUCAAUUUGCACAGUGGGUCAUUAUUUGUAAUUAAAACACAACCAGGGAGUGGAGCUGUGGUGCCAUAAUGUGAGGAAACAUCACCUACAUCCAUCUUAGUGGGAUCAGUUUUGACUUUCAUGCGAAUCAUAAUGAAGGACGUUGGAUCUUACAUUUGAAACCUGUGAGAAUUAAAGGAAUACUUCCACAUCUCUUUCACAUACGUCCUUUACACAUUAGGCCACAACCUGCAGCUCAGGUUAGCAUAACAGGGAGCUUAAAGAUCGCUUGUGUGCAAAUUAAGUCUUUUAAAUACUCUUUUAAGACCUAAAUUAAGAUUGCACUCCAAACUGAGUAAGUUGCUUUAGUGCUGAUGUGUGAGAUGUGCCUCAGGAGGUGGAGAGUUAAUGUACUCGUGUGCUCGCUGCUUUCUGGGCCACCAGUUUCCAUUUCAACAAGGACAUUAAGGCAACAGCGGGGUCCAUUAAAUCCACAAACUGCCUUUCCCUCGAAAUCCUUGCCACCUGCGGCAGAACAUCACAAGUGGCAGCCGCCUUCCCGGCAUGUAAGCUGAACUGUGGGAAAACACUGACAGUACUGUACAUGUCGCAGAGCUUUACUGACCAACAUCGGGCCAAAGUGCACUGAAAAUACUAGACGAGAGAACUCGCUCUCCCAGGGAAAAGCAGAGACGUCCCUUUGCAUCCGAGCAGUCAUUCCUGCACUCGGCUCUGUAGAUUCGCAACCUCAGAAUUAAAUGUUGAAACAUGAUGUUCUGUGCCAAUCAGUGCCGAGGUUCUCCCACCGGACCGUACUGUGCUUUAAUCUGCUUCCCAUCAGGUUAAAGGAUCACUCACUUCUUAUCUGACUAACUGUAAGGUAUCCACCAACGCGUUGACUGAUCCUAAGCUCUUAAACACACAUUUACGCACACGCACACACACACACACACACACACACACACACACACACUAUUGGCUGACUUUUUUUUGGCCUUCCAUCUGUAACAGCUCAGUUAUGUAUCAAUGGAAGUGGUGUUUUUGCUUCUCUGCAAUUUUUGCUCUCCUCAUUAAAUUUGUUUCUUCCUGUUCAUAUUUGAACUCUGCUAAAGACAUUUUUGUAUUUCAUUGUGUUCAAUGCACUUUAUGCACUUUUAAUCAAUAUUUCUAUAUCAACAACGGGACCCUGUGCAUUGACUUUCCUUGAAGCCCUGUGUUUAAGGAAAGUUUGGGCUUCCUUCUCUUCCCUGGUAUGAAAACGUCUUUCUCCUGGUAAAUGUAGAAAAGUAAACCAUCAGGUUGUUUUUCCUGAAAUUGUCUUUCAGCCUUUGGUGGUUAAAAUCAUUUGGUCUCUUUCAUGGUGGUUUUUGGGAGUCGAGUGGAAGAACAAAAUCGUCCUCACGCUGCACAAUGUCGAGGUCUUGGUCGAUGUUGAGUGCUGUCCGUGGUGCUGAACGUGCAACCGCCACAACGUCGCUGUUUGAGUGACUUUGGACUUGCUGUUUACUUUUGGAUGGAAAGGUCUAAUAGUGCGCGUUGGACACUCUAUCAUACCUUACCGUUCUUAGAAAUAAUAGGAAGAGUCAUCAAGUAAAGAUCGACUCAUAUUGAUUGAACCGGAAUUAAAAGACACAGUAAAUAAGUAUAUCAUUUCAUUGGAGUCUGUUGACAUAUAAACCUGAAAGAUAAUUCCAUAUUCAUAUUGAAUUCAUCACAAAACUACAAGUACAGCUACAUAUUUUUUUAAAAUUUUGAUAUGCUGCUCAGCUCAAUAUGAUCAAAUGAAAGGAAAUUGAAAGAGCAGCAUUUAUAAGAUAACAAUGAAUAUUGGGCUUCAAACCACUUCACUUUAUCAGGAAUAUUUUGACAAAAGCUUAUAGAAAAGAUAUUGACAGAGACUUCUUUAAGCAUUUGAGAAUUGUUGUUGAGCAUGUUUUCUCUGACUCAUAAUGCAGAUAAAAGCUGAACUUCUCUGUUUGAUCAGUUGCUUGUGAUCACAGAGGCCCACAUGCAACAACGUCACAACGCAGCAAUGACGCAGCGACGAGGAAGGCUGUGUAUUUUCUGUGAACAUGGCAUUUCCUGUAAAAGUUCCCUUUGAAAGGCUCAUUGAGUGUGUGCAGACGGCGGCAGACUCCCACACAUGAAUGCAUCAGUAGCAGGGAAGACAAACAGGUGUUUUUUCUUGGGGGAGAAUUUUUGAUCUGCACACUGUGAGUUUCUCACGAACUCGGUGCGUGACCUUUUUUGGGAAGCACCGUGACCUAAACCGGUGCAGGGCGGUAUACUGUUUCUACAGAUGGAACCCAUGUGUACCUCGACUGAUCCAUAUCUUGUUUUUCUCUCUACCUUUUGCCUGGGACUCAUUGAGUCACUCCCCCGGACGCUCAGGUGGCGGCACGGAUCUCUGCCUCUCUGACUGACAUCUGUGGGUGGGUGUCUGCUCAACCAUCAACCACGACAAGACUGAACCACUUCUCCUUCCCGGGAAAAGAUUCUCCGACCCAGGAACUGACGGUUACCUUUGGCAACUCCGUGUUAACGCCCGCUUUGACUGCGAGGAACCUCGGCGUGCCACUCGACAGCCAACUCUCCGUGACUCCCAACGCCAUUGCGACAACACAAUCCUGUAGACACACGCUCUGCAACCUCAGGAGAAUACGUCUCCUCCUCAGAAGGAACUGGAGUCAGGCCGCUGCUGGUGUGCGUGGCAGCGGCGGUGGGGCCUGCCCAGCGUCACUGUCUCCUGCCAACGGGUGUGCCAGCUGGUCACUGCAGUCAUCUUCUCUGUAAGCAAUGCUGUGUUUGUAAAACCGAACACAGAUCUAAGUGAGACAGGUCUUAAGCAUGUUAGGGAAACGGGUUGGAUACAACCAGGUCUGUUGUUAUAAUUAACGUUGGUUUAAGUGGACAAAUACAUGAAGGCAUUGCAUGUAAAGCAUUUUGCAACAUUCUCGCUCCGCAGUCUCCAGAGGAACGAUCCAACGCGCAGUCCAGCAGCGGCGCCAAUUAAUAACGAAUCACACGCGUGCCCCAUAAGCAUGCUCACCGACGAAUUAAAUGUGCCCUCUUUCUCUGGGAAAGCACUUCUGUUAGGCAGAUCACACACAAACUAUUUGGCCUGCGUCCCGGGGACUCCAGGGCUCACAACAUGAUCGCAGGCGCGGUCCAGCCGGGGUCACUCCGAGCGCUGCUCAGCCCGGACUCCUUUCCCACGGAAACCGUGAGCAGCGGCUCAAGAGACGGCAAAAAACAAGCUGCGGCAGUGAGAGUUUGCAAUGAUGACCCUCAUUUAUCACAUGCGAGGGCCUUUCGUAUGUGCUGAUAGUCACACUUAUAUUACAGAUAUUAUUAACACAUUUGUGGGAAUUGGCUCUCUUGCGGUGAGUUAGCUAGUUUAGCCUUUAAUAUGGGUCUUUUUUUACAUUUUAAUAUGAUAAAAUUGGAUUUUACAGAAAUAACUAUCUAAAUGAUUCCGUGAAGUCUUGACCAUUUCUAACUACGUUGCUAAUAGGUCGCAGCACAGUGUUAAUAGUUUAAAAUCAUACAAAACUGACCCCUCUCAUCAGUAGACACCUGAUUUGAACCACGCAACAAAUAAAAAAUAUGUUUUUUUGUCACUGUUGUGAUAUUUGAGUGAAAUUCAUUUGAAAAAAGGGGGGUGUUUUAACAGCAAGCAAGAUUUAGUGAGAGUUUUUUCCUUUUUUUGGUAGACGUGUUUUUCUGUUUCUCCUCCAUUAAUUACAUUCUAUCAUCUGGAGAACAUAUUUUUCAUCUCACACAUCAUUACCAAGUCACAUAAAUCAGAGAGUACUUCACUUCAUGUCUCGACUGGUUGGCAAAAGGCAUUCAAGGAUGCGUGGCAUUUCAUAUUCUAUAAAAGAUGAUCAGCGUUGGUUAAAGACUGGAGUUUAUAAACUGAAAACAGGUUUUAUCUUGAAGAAUCACGCUGCACCAAUCGGCAAACUUGCAAGGUAUGCAGCUAAAAAAAUGAGAAUGUUUCCAGAUGAGAGUGAUUGCUGGUAUACUUGAAAAAUGGCUCCUUUCCAAAGGUUUCUAUUUCAUUUCAAAGUGCUGUUUUCCGCUGAAUGGCCGAGGCUUACUGGCAAUUACCUCAAACAAAUGAUCCAUGCGUUCAUUUAUUCUCCCUCAUAUCAUCAUCAUCUCUGUCCCCUUGCUCAACUCAAAUCAUAUUUUUCCGGUUUUCCUACUUCUUAAUUAAAGGUUCAGAUGUU